rnacentral:rRNA from 1 species
AGGGAAUAUUGCGCAAUGGGGGAAACCCUGACGCAGCGACGCCGCGUGAAGGAAGAAGGUCUUCGGAUCGUAAACUUCUUUGACUGGGGACGAAAGUAAUGACGGUACCCAGGGAACAAGCCACGGCUAACUACGUGCCAGCAGCCGCGGUAAUACGUAGGUGGCGAGCGUUGUCCGGAAUUACUGGGUGUAAAGGGCGUGUAGGCGGGAGAGCAAGUCAGAUGUGAAAGCCCAAGGCUCAACUUUGGGACUGCAUCUGAAACUGUGUUUCUUGAGUACUGGAGAGGGAAGCGGAAUUCCUAGUGUAGCGGUGAAAUGCGUAGAGAUUAGGAGGAACACCAGUGGCGAAGGCGGCUUCCUGGACAGAGACUGACGCUGAGGCGCGAAAGCGUGGGGAGCGAAC